GAUAUAUAAUUUCAAUAUAAAAGGCUCUGAGAAAAUAUUGAGUUAUGGGUUAACCCAUGUAUUCCUCAAAUGUACGUUUGUUUGUUUCCUUGUACUUUUAGACAGAAUCUUGAGCCUGGACUGCCCUUGAACAUUUUAUCUGCUUCUGCCUCCUGAGUUUGGGAUUAUCAUUUUAUACUGUCACCUUUUGCUUCAGACCAUGGGUUUUGUCAACAAAACAUGAAGAAUAUCUUUUGAUUUCAAAGACACUAGCACUUAUAUCCUGUCAUCACUUGGUUGAUCAAGAAUCAGAAUAGACACCCAGACCCAGGUGAAACCAGAAUAUGAACCAUCCUGCAUGUCAGAAACAAAGACUCAUAGACUGUAUUCCAGGAGAACACUUGGAAUCGUCCCCUUUAUCACCAUAAAUUGAGCAGCUGGCCUCUUAACAUAAAUAUUUCUGAGAUCUCACUUU
rnacentral:lncRNA from 1 species